UCGCCUGUUUAUCAAAAACAUCGCCUCUUGCUAACAACGAAGUAUUAGAGGUCCCGCCUGCCCUGUGACAGCAGUGUUUAACGGCCGCGGUAUUUUAACCGCGCGAAGGUAGCGUAAUCACUUGUCUUUUAAAUGGAGACCUGUAUGAAUGGCAUAACGAGGGUUUAACUGUCUCCUCCCCCCAGUCAAUGAAAUUGAUCUGCCCGUGCAGAAGCGGGCAUGCCAACAUAAGACGAGAAGACCCUAUGGAGCUUUAGGCAAAUGAUCAAGCACAACAAACCCCGUUUUUAACCAAGCCCCGGGGGAAACAAAAGCCGAUGAUCAAGAUGCCUUCGGUUGGGGCGACCUUGGAGAAAAAAUAAGCCUCCAAGUGGAAUGGGAAAACCCUUAAACUAAGAGAAACAGCUCGAAGUACCAGAAAUUCUGACCAAACAUGACCCAGGUUUCACCUGAUCAACGAACUGAGUUACCCUAGGGAUAACAGCGCAAUCCUCUCCCAGAGUCCAUAUCGACGAGGGGGUUUACGACCUCGAUGUUGGAUCAGGACAUCCUAAUGGUGCAGCCGCUAUUAAGGGCUCGUUUGUUCAACGAUUAACAGUCCUACGUGAUCUGAGUUCAGACCGG
rnacentral:rRNA from 1 species